rnacentral:lncRNA from 1 species
GUCAUUUCAUUAUAUCCAUAAAUUAAAUUUUAGUUAAAUUACAUAUAAAUUUUAGAAUUUUCUAUCUAUUAAAUCUAUUAUUUCUCAAACUUUUAUUAUACAAAUAUAAUUAAUCUAUUAUUCACUUGGUCUACUUCUACUAGGAUAGUAAAAUUUCAAAUAAAACCUAAUUAACAAAUUCUUGCAUUGAUUCAAAUGGGGUUGAGCACAAACCUUAGGAAAGGUGUUGGGAGAAGAUGGGGAAUUAAUUGGAGGUGAAAUUUUGAAGCAAUUUUGGUAUAGAAGAGAAAAGAUGAAGAAUGGAAAUUUUUUUGUGGUUCUCGGCAGAGGAAGGAGGAGAAAAUGGAGGAAAAGAAAUGAGUUUCUCUCUCUCUUCUAGCCUUUUCUUCUUUCUUCUUUUCUCUUUCUUUUUUUUUUUUUCUUAUUCUUUAAAUUUACUAUUUCUUUAUUUUUAUUUUACUAUCCUUAUUAUUAUUAUUAUUAUUAUUAUUAUUUUUUAGGAUGUUACAGUACAUACCUUGUCCAAUUAACUUCUUUUCUUUU